rnacentral:rRNA from 1 species
GAAUAAUAGAAUAUGAUCUCGGUUCUAUUUUGUUGGUUUUCAGAACUCCGAGGUAAUGAUUAAUAGGGAUAACUGGGGGCAUUCGUAUUGCGACGUUAGAGGUGAAAUUCUUGGAUCGUCGCAAGACGAACAUCAGCGAAAGCAUUUGCCAAAGGUGUUUUCAUCAAUCAAGAACGAAAGUUAGAGGUUCGAAGGCGAUUAGAUACCGCCCUAGUUCUAACCGUAAAUAUGUCAUCUAGCGAUCCGCCGACGUUACUACAAUGGCUCGGCGGGCAGCUUCCGGGAAACCAAAGAUUUUGGACUCCGGGGGGAGUAUGGUUGCAAAGCUGAAACUUAAAGGAAUUGACGGAAGGGCACCACCAGGAGUGGAGCCUGCGGCUUAAUUUGACUCAACACGGGAAAUCUCACCAGGCCCGGACACCGGAAGGAUUGACAGAUUAACAGCUCUUUCUUGAUUCGGUGGGUGGUGGUGCAUGGCCGUUCUUAGUUGGUGGAGCGAUUUGUCUGGUUAAUUCCGGUAACGAACGAGACUCUAGCCUGCUAAAUAGGCGUCGUCAUUUAGGUGUGCGUGGCCACGUGUCACGCAACUCACUGGCGACGUAUUAAAAUUCUUCUUAGAGGGACCGGCGGCUUCGAGCCGCACGAGAUUGAGCAAUAACAGGUCUGUGAUGCCCUUAGAUGUCCUGGGCCGCACGCGCGCUACACUGAAGGAAUCAGCAUGUUCUCCCUGGCCUAGAGGCCCGGGCAACCCGCUGAAACUCCUUCGUGCUGGGGAUUGGGGUUUGCAAUUAUCCCCCAUAAACGAGGAAUUCCUAGUAAGCGCGAGUCAUAAGCUCGCGUUGAUUACGUCCCUGCCCUUUGUACACACCGCCCGUCGCUACUACCGAUUGAAUGAUUUAGUGAGGUCUUCGGACCGACACGCGGUGGCUUCACGGCCGUCGGCGUUGCUGGGAAGUUGACCAAACUUGAUCAUUUAGAGGAGUAAAAGUCGUGACAGGUUUCCGUAGGGGAACCUGCGGAAG